rnacentral:tRNA from 1 species
CGAAUGCCCAGUUGCUGUUGUGUAAGAGCUCACAGAGUUGCCAAAACCGCUCGCUGCCAGGGAACUGACGAA